UACGGAGGGUGCAAGCGUUAUCCGGAUUCACUGGGUUUAAAGGGUGCGUAGGCGGGAUAUUAAGUCAGUGGUGAAAGCCCCGAGCUCAACUUGGGAACUGCCAUUGAUACUGAUGUUCUUGAAUAUAGUUGAGGUAGGCGGAAUACAGCAUGUAGCGGUGAAAUGCAUAGAUAUGCUGUAGAACACCAAUUGCGAAGGCAGCUUACUAAACUAUUAUUGACGCUGAGGCACGAAAGCGUGGGGAGCGAACAGG
rnacentral:rRNA from 1 species